GCCAGCCCGCUCAAGAACUUAAAGGAAGUUGACGGGGCCCGCACAAGCGGAGGAGCAUGUGGUUUAAUUCGAUGAUACGCGAGGAACCUUACCUGGGCUCGAACGUAAGAUGACUGUAGGUGAAAGCUUACAUCUCUUCGGAGCAUUUUACGAGGUGCUGCAUGGUUGUCGUCAGCUCGUGCCGUGAGGUGUCGGGUUAAGUCCCAUAACGAGCGCAACCCCUACCUUUAGUUGCCAUCAGGUUAAGCUGGGGACUCUAAAGGAACUGCCUACGCAAGUAGUGAGGAAGGCGGGGAUGACGUCAAAUCAGCACGGCCCUUACGUCCAGGGCUACACACGUGCUACAAUGGCCGAUACAGAGGGCAGCUACCUGGUGACAGGAUGCAAAUCUCCAAAGUCGGUCUCAGUUCGGAUCGGAGUCUGCAACCCGACUCCGUGAAGUUGGAUUCGCUAGUAAUCGCGCAUCAGCCAUGGCGCGGUGAAUACGUUCCCGGGCCUU
rnacentral:rRNA from 1 species